CAGGGAAUAUUAGUUAAUGUGCGAAAGCGCGAACUAGCAACGCCGCGUGUGCGAUGAAGGCCUUCGGGUUGUAAAGCACUUUUCUAAGGGAUGAGGAAGGACAGUACCUUAGGAAUAAGCCUCGGCUAACUACGUGCCAGCAGCCGCGGUAAAACGUAGGAGGCGAGCGUUAUCCGGAUUUACUGGGCGUAAAGCGCGUGCAGGCGGUUUGGUAAGUUGGAUGUGAAAGCUCCUGGCUUAACUGGGAGAGGUCGUUCAAUACUGUCAGACUUGAGGAUGGUAGAGGGAGAUGGAAUUCCGGGUGUAGUGGUGAAAUGCGUAGAUAUCCGGAGGAACACCAGUGGCGAAAGCGAUCUCCUGGACCAUUUCUGACGCUCAGACGCGAAAGCUAGGGUAGCAAACGG
rnacentral:rRNA from 1 species